AAGACGAUGAGGUAGAUAGGUUCGAGGUGGAAGUGUGGUGACACAUGGAGCUGACGAAUACUAAUCGAUCGAGGACUUAACCA
rnacentral:rRNA from 1 species